CAGCAGCAGCCGCGGGAAUACGAAGGGUGCAAACGUUGCUCGGAGUUAUUGGGCGUAAAGCGCACGUAGGCGGCUCCGCAAGUCGGAUGUGAAAUCCCUCGGCUUAACCAAGGAAGUGCAUCCGAAACUGCAGAGCUUGAGUACUUAAGAGGAUCGCGGAAUUCCCGGUGUAGAGGUGAAAUUCGUAGAUAUCGGGAGGAACACCAGUGGCGAAGGCGGCGAUCUGGGAAGAUACUGACGCUGAGGUGCGAAAGCGUGGGGAGCAAACAGGAUUAGAUACCCCUGUAGUCCCUGUCUCUUAUAC
rnacentral:rRNA from 1 species